GACGAACGCUGGCGGCGUGCUUAACACAUGCAAGUCGAGCGGUAAGGCCCUUUCGGGGGUACACGAGCGGCGAACGGGUGAGUAACACGUGGGUGACCUGCCCUCAGCUCUGGGAUAAGCCUGGGAAACUGGGUCUAAUACUGGAUAUGACUCCACGGUGCAUGUCGUGGGGUGGAAAGCCUUGUGCGGCUGAGGAUGGGCCCGCGGCCUAUCAGCUUGUUGGUGGGGNGAUGGCCUACCAAGGCGACGACGGGUAGCCGGCCUGAGAGGGCGACCGGGCCACACUGGGACUGAGACACGGCCCAGACUCCUACGGGAGGCAGCAGUGGGGAAUCUUGCGCAAUGGGCGAAAGCCUGACGCAGCGACGCCGCGUGAGGGAUGACGGCCUGG
rnacentral:rRNA from 1 species